GUUUGAAUUUAUUUAACUAAUAGGCUAAUAUCUAUUACUUUCCCUCCACUUUCUCAAUAACCAAACAACAAAACAUACUUAAACAAAAAGAGGAGCGUUUGGACACAUCAAUCCGUUCCAACAAAUGAAAUUUUAAAAUCAAAUAUGGAGAAUCCAAUAAUCAUAAAAUUGAAAAAAAAAAAAAGUUAAGAUUCGACCAAAUCUCUGUCAUUUGAACAUUGAUCUGCUCAUAGCGGAAACAUGCAAAUAGAAAGCGCCCUACCUAUUAAAAUCUUAAGUUAUAAUAAAAAAUUCUGGUGUUGAAGUAACCGUACCAAAUUACUUAGUUUCCUUCACUUUCUCAACAACCGGUAAAAAAGAGAGUUUUCCUCCUUCCUUUUAACAAUGACCACCAUUAGACUGCAUGUCUGAAGUGUUUCCUAUCAUCGCACGAAAGCUGCAGUACAUACAACCUAAAUUUUCAUCAUUGUCCAAACUGCAUUUGUUGAGGGUAAUCAAACAGCUUCUUUAACAGAGGAAGUAGCCCAAUCAAAGCUAUUUGAAGCUGCUCUGAGCUAUUUAUGCGAAUACUGAUUUGUCCUGCCCCCCUGUUAUUCAAAUUUCCACGAGCAAUUAAAUUUGUAGACCGCCCUAUAGGCACCUGAGAUUGAAUAUUGCAACCAACAGCAAGAUCUCCAUGCCAAUCCAUGACAGAGAGCCCAAGUGUCGAUAGGGAACGACCCAAAGGAUAAUCCUUGUCUCUCAGCUGUGCCUCUAAACUGCCACCAUAAGCUACAUCACCACGGCCAGUCAUUGCACCCCCAGACAGGACCAUUCGGAACCGUUUAUUGACAAUCAAUUUAUCUUCAACUUUCAGUCCAGCUGAUAAGGCGUCACCCAAGAGGGUGACUGAGAGACCAGCUGUUGCCUUAUUCUUCCUGUAAUUACAAAACUUUGCCUCACUACGUAAAGUAUAAGCCAAAUCCUUCCCCACAGUCUGCAUAUCAAAACCUAGUGAAGUGGAUUUCCCAUCCCCAUGCUUUAUAGAGCUUGCCAAUUCCAUUUGAACAUUGGCAUCCUUUUUAUCCUUUGUUACCUGCCCAGAAAAAGAUAAAGGAAUUUUGUCUUUCACCACAAACAAUCUUUCUACAUUUAUACCUUCAUAACCAACAUCAUGAUCCCAACCAUGAGUUUCUAGAACAGGCCUCACAAGCCACUGGUUGGAGGUAUCAAGAUAACGAUACCGAUGUGUGGGAUUAUCAGAAUCAAAAGAAGCAGGCAAUGCUAAAUCUGGCAUUGGAACUGGCACAGAUGCAGCGCCACCGCUUUCCUCUUCUGCAUUUUCACUGUAAUCACUAGGCAAAUCCUUAGCAGCAGCAGCCAUUUUCUUCGUCAUUUUUCGUCGAUUUUUCUCCUCCUUCAACUGCUUCCUCAUCAAAAGCUUUUCCCUAUAUUCUAACUCGUCAAAAUAUGCCUUUUUCUGAGCUCUAGUAAGCUUGGCCACCUGGGCCUUUGUCAAACUUUUAAAUGGUGGCAAAUCAUCAUAUUCAGAUUCAUCCUCAGAAUCCGAUGACUCUUCCAAAUCAUCAUCAAUACCAUCCUCAUCACCAAACUGCUCCUCAGGCAGCUUAACUUGUGGUCUUGACUGGAGAAGGGAUGAGAGCAGAAAUGGUAAAGGAGGUGCCCUUGAUCGAGUUGCAAAAGGUUUCCCUGGUGGACUGUCUUGCAACUUCAAAAGCGCGUUUGCUUCAGCAAGAAUCUUUGAUGCAAAAGACAGCAAUAACAAAUGAGGUUUCCAAACCUGGCCAUUUGGCAACACCCUCUGCCCAGCCCUAUUUGUCCUGCAUGCUGAGUGGUUCUCUACUAAUGAAACUGGAUUCAUAAGCCGCAUAUCACCAGCUGCCUGACGGAUUGCUUGUUGAACAACAUGAGAACGUUGAGUGACAAACAUGUCAUAACUUGAAGCAGUACCAUUUGGCCCAUCAGGUGGAGCAGACGCUGCAUGAGUCAGGACCACAAUUGCAUUAAACCAUAUGGAUGGACCAAAUAUAUCAGUGAUGGUGCGUAAGAGAGGCAUAUCACCAAAAUCCCUGCUCUGCAUGUCUAACCUAUCCAGAUACAAAACAAUGUCUGGAGGAGUUCUCUUGAUAAAGUACUUAACAGAGUUAAGAAUCUUUUCAUUCUGGCGCUGGUCAGACCCAGAAGGUAGGAGACCUGGUGUAUCUAUGACCCGUACCUUAAUCCCUUGAACAGUGCCAACAACAUCCUGAACUUUUUUUGUACCUAAUUGAAAAGCAUCAGUGCCAAACUUUACUUCAUCAAAUAUUGAAUUGAUGGUUGCACUUUUACCAACUCCUGUCUUCCCAAGAACCAUAAUUGUACAAGAGAAAUCAAGGGGUUCCUGCCCAGCUGCCUCAAGCUGCUCAGCCAUGGCACUUGCACGAUCAAAACUGAAGGCACCAACACGGCCCCCAUUUCUCCCUCGCAGCUGUUCAGCUAAUCCCAGCCUGUAGAGAACCUGUGCUACAACAACAUUAUGUGGAGUCUGCCCUAGCCUAUGGGCAAGCCGCAAAAAUUUCACCCUAAUCAUCUGCAGUUUUUCACGAGUCUCAUUGUACUCAUCACCCUCCCCAUUGGUAGGGUCUUCAAUCUGUUGGGAUUGCACCUGAGACGCAGUUCCAUUAACACGUUGCUGCUGCUGCUGCUGCACUGCCCUAGGUGCAGGUUCCAGUAGUGGGGCGGCACGCCCAAGGCCCGCUGGACGAACAGGCGUAGGAGCAGGACCAGUGGAUUUUUCAGACAGCGAGGCAAGCUUUUCUGGAGUUGGAAUUUCUCGUUCACCAUUUCCUUGAGUUCUUUUCUUCUCUUCAUGAUCUUUUUCCACUUUAUUUUUUGGCUCCUCAAUCACAUUACUCUCUUUGCCAACACCAUUAACUUUUUCAUCAGCACACGGUGGUUCAGUUUUGUUAUACUCUUCUCUAAGAGUUGCUGAAGUAGCUACACAAUCUCGAAUAUCCUCAUUACUCUCAUUCACAAACUUCUCUGAGAGUAAGUUCAAAAUUUCUGGUGCUGCUGUUGCUUCAACUGUAUGUGGGACAGCUGAAUUAGCAUUCAGGUCAUGAAUUUCCUCAUGAUGCCCAGAAUCCACUGGAACAGAGGUGUCUUUCACAUCUCCAUUGCUACCACCUUGGAGCCCCAUGUCCAAAUUUGUUGAAUUAUAGAUCAAUUGUUCACUCUCAGGAACCCCAUUCCCAGAAGCAAGGACAGUAUCAUCACCUUUCAAUUCUCCACUUUUCUCAACCUUAUGACAUUCAGUGUCAACUUUAGGUACAUUAUCAUUCAAAGCAUCACCAUUAUCCUCUUGAAGCUGGACUACACCAACAGAUCCUCCAGUGUUGUGAUAUACAGUACCCAAUUCAUCCUUCUUCAGUUCCUCCAUCUUACCAUCCUCAGACAGAAUCUCCCUGCUCAAUCCAACCUCAUGACUACAUUUCACCCCAACUGCACCCAUCGAAACCUCAUUUCCUCCAUCUCCACCAAUCUCAGAGACCUCCUUUUCUCCAUUCAAUUCAUGGCAAACCACUUCACUAGUAGUCCCACCCUCAUCAAUCUUAUCAACACUAUCACCACCAACCAAAUCCUUCGACCUUUCUCCACCAACCACUGCAGCCAAAUCCUCAAGGUCCCCAGCCUCAACAAGAGCACCAACUGCCUCCUCAAAUGUCUCCGCUUCAUUUUCCAUAUUUGAGUUCUCAUCCACCACAAGUGAACUGGAAUCACCCACAGUCUUAACACAGACACCAAAUUCAGAUUUUGCUCCCAGGUCCUGCAACUGCUCUGGUGAAUCAAUUCCCUCUGGUGAAUCAACUGCCUCCUCAAAAACCUCAUCUUCAAAAUCUUUCAACCUAUCAGACCCCACCAAAACCCUCUCCUCUACCUUAUCCCCAGAAACCUGAUUUUCCACAUUUUUUUCCUCUCCCAAUUGGGGCCCACCAACGCUCGUAACCCCAUUUUCCAUUUUCAAUAUGUCUCAGCCGCAAAAACCCUAGAUUCACCAAAACCCCAAAAAUCAAAAAUCGAAAAUCGAAAUGGAAACAAUACGGCCAAAACAACAAUAAUCAUCGUAAUCAAUCACAUAUUCAACCAGCCAACGAAUUAAAUCCAAAAACCCUAAAACAGAAUUCCAUUUCUCAUUCGAAAAUAAAUGCAAACAAAAACAAUGGAUCUCUAAUCCAAUACAAUAUAUACAAUAACCAAACCAAAAUCUCAAAUCUGAAGAGCCCAUUUAUAGGUUCUCCAAUAGGGUUUUUUCAGGAAAUAAAAGCAAAAGAAAAUGUGAGAAAGCAAUUAAAAAAAACAUUAUACAAACGUAAAAGAGAAAAAGCUUACCUGAUUUUGUGGACAACUAUAGA
rnacentral:misc_RNA from 1 species